rnacentral:rRNA from 1 species
GGAUUAGAUACCCUGGUAGUCCUUGCCGUAAACGAUGUAUACUUGGUGUAGAUGGGCUCAACCCCGUCUGUGCCGGAGCUAACGUGUUAAGUAUACCGCCUGGGGAGUACGCUCGCAAGGGUGAAACUCAAAAGAAUUGACGGGGGCCCGCACAAGCAGUGGAGCAUGUGGUUUAAUUCGAUGCAACGCGAAGAACCUUACCUGGGCUUGACAUGCAGCGGACGGAACUAGAGAUAGUGCCUCUCUUAGGAGCCGUUGCACAGGUGCUGCAUGGCUGUCGUCAGCUCGUGCUG